rnacentral:rRNA from 1 species
AGGAUAAACGCUGGCGGCGUGCCUAACACAUGCAAGUCGAACGCGCUUUCCUCUUCGGAGGGGAGCGAGUGGCGGACGGGUGAGUAAGACGUGGGUACCUAUCCCGCAGUGAGGAAUACCGGCGAGAAAUCGCCGACAAGACCGCAUACGCUUCCCUUCACGGGGAAGCAAAGUCUCGCAAGAGGCGCUGAGGGAGGGGCCUGCGGCCGAUUAGCUGGUUGGUGAGGUAACCGCUCACCAAGGCGACGAUCGGUAGCUGGUCUGAGAGGACGAUCAGCCACACUGGGAUUGAGAACGGCCCAGACUCCUACGGGGGCAGCAGUGAGGAAUUUUCGGCAAUGGAGGCAACUCUGACCGAGCAACGCCGCGUGCAGGACGACGGCCUUCGGGUUGUAAACUGCUUUUCUGGGGACGAGCGAAGGACGGUACCCCGAGGAACGAAGCCCCGGCUAACUACGCGCCACGCAGCCGC